rnacentral:rRNA from 1 species
UACAGAGACUGCAAGCGUUAUUCGGAUUCACUGGGCGUAAAGGGUGCGCAGGCGGCCAAGUGUGUCAGGUGUGAAAUCCCGAGGCUUAACCUCGGAACUGCGCCUGAAACUACUUGGCUAGAGUACUGGAGAGGGUAACGGAAUUCACGGUGUAGCAGUGAAAUGCGUAGAGAUCGGGCGGAACACCAGCGGCGAAGGCGGCAUCCUGGCCCGUACCUGACGCUGAGGCGCGAGAGCGUGGGGAGCAAACCGG